rnacentral:RNase_P_RNA from 1 species
AAAGCUGGCCAGACAGUCGCUGCUCGUGCCCCGUGCAUGAGGAGAGGAAAGUCCGGACUUCAUAGAGCAGGGUGCCAGGUAACGCCUGGGCGGCGUAAGCCGACGGAAAGUGCAGCAGAAAAUAUACCGCCGAUGUUCUUCGGAGCAGGUAAGGUUGAAAUGGUGCGGUAAGAGCGCACCGCGCUUCUGGCAACAGUAAGCGGCAUGGUAAACCCCACCCGAAGCAAGACCAAAUAGGGUUCCGUAUGGCGUGGCUCGCGUUGGAACCGGGUAGGUUGCUGGAGCCAUCGAGCGAUUGAUGGCCUAGACGAAUGACUGUCCACGACAGAAUCCGGCUUAUCGGCCAGCUUUUCUU